CACUCACGCUGUGGUUGGAUAAGUGGGGCUUCACCUAAUGUUUGCUGCUCUGUGAUUUUAUGCAUGCUCCGAAGAAAGCCUGUGGAAGGCAAUGACGGAUUAAAGAUCUUGGCAGAAGCAAACAGCCUGGCAGGCCACAGGUGGCCACAUCAGUGCAUGACCCUUCCAUCAUCAAGAACAGCUUCUGAAAGUCAAAGGCAAUAUCCAGGAUUCAAGACUCACCCACAUGACCUCAAAGCAUUUAUCAAAAGAAGCAAACCAUUGGGAAAGGCUUACGGACGGAGUAGCAGAGUGAUAUAAUGAGGAACACAGGAAGAAAAAAUGAGCUGCACAUGACCCAAAGCGUACCUGUUCAUUAGUGACAUGCACACUUGGUUACGCAUUGACUCAGUGGUCUUUAACGCAACUGCAGAUGGCAACAGAAAGAUGAUUCUGAAAUAUACAGAAGCGUCUCAAUUGCAUCAAUCCAGCGCAAGAAACCGAGAGACAGGAGCUUUGCCAGCCCUUCUAUCCAGAAAAUCCUGCUUCUCUAGAAACUGAGUGUUACACCAGGCAAGUCUACAGUGAGAAACUGACCCGUCUACUACAAGACGUUCAAAUUGUCUCCUGACCAAAUGAAAUAACCACUUGAAUCUGAACAAAUUAUAUAGGCUGGGGAACAUCACAACCCUACUGGUAAGAAGACAUAACAGUGGACAGUUUCAUAACUGCCAAGAUAAAGAAGGGUUUGUCAGAAAUCUAAUUACUGACAGUACUACUGUUCCCUGCAUGAAUCACACACACACACACACACACACACACACACACACACACACACACACACACACACACACCCCUACAUUCUUUCCAAAUAACAGCACGAGGAAGCCCUCUGCACAGACUUUACAAGUCAAGGCCAUACAGGGUGUGUCUAUAACCAGCUGUUAUAUUCCACAAUACCGCAUUAGCUAACUGUUAUAUUCCACAAUACUGUA